GACGAAGGAUGCAAGCGUUAUCCGGAUUCAUUGGGUUUAAAGGGAGCGUAGGUGGCCUUAUAAGUCAGUGGUGAAAUCCUGUUGCUUAACAACAGAAUUGCCAUUGAUACUGUAGGGCUUGUGUACAGAUGCCGUUGGCGGAAUAUGACAUGUAGUGGUGAAAUACAUAGAGAUGUCAUAGAACACCGAUUGCGAAGGCAGCUGACGAAACUGUAACUGACACUGAGGCUCGAAAGUGCGGGGAUCAAACAGG
rnacentral:rRNA from 1 species